AUUGAACGCUGGCGGCAUGCCUUACACAUGCAAGUCGAACGGCAGCACGGGAGCAAUCCUGGUGGCGAGUGGCGAACGGGUGAGUAAAGUAUCGGAACGUGCCCAGUCGUGGGGGAUAACGUAGCGAAAGUUACGCUAAUACCGCAUACGAUCUAUGGAUGAAAGCGGGGGAUCGCAAGACCUCGCGCGAUUGGAGCGGCCGAUAUCAGAUUAGGUAGUUGGUGGGGUAGAGGCUCACCAAGCCGACGAUCUGUAGCCGGUCUGAGAGGACGACCAGCCACACUGGGACUGAGACACGGCCCAGACUCCUACGGGAGGCAGCAGUGGGGAAUUUUGGACAAUGGGCGAAAGCCUGAUCCAGCCAUGCCGCGUGCAGGAUGAAGGCCUUCGGGUUGUAAACUGCUUUUGUACGGAACGAAAAGGUUUGGCCUAAUAAGCUGAGCUCAUGACGGUACCGUAAGAAUAAGCACCGGCUAACUACGUGCCAGCCGCCGCGGUAA
rnacentral:rRNA from 1 species